rnacentral:rRNA from 1 species
CUUGGUCAUUUAGAGGAAGUAAAAGUCGUAACAAGGUCUCCGUUGGUGAACCAGCGGAGGGAUCAUUACCGAGUUUACAACUCCCCAAACCCAAUGUGAACGUUACCAAACUGUUGCCUCGGCGGGAUCUCUGCCCCGGGUGCGUCGCAGCCCCGGACCAAGGCGCCCGCCGGAGGACCAACCAAAACUCUUAUUGUAUACCCCCUCGCGGGUUUUUUACUAUCUGAGCCAUCUCGGCGCCCCUCGUGGGCGUUUCGAAAAUGAAUCAAAACUUUCAACAACGGAUCUCUUGGUUCUGGCAUCGAUGAAGAACGCAGCGAAAUGCGAUAAGUAAUGUGAAUUGCAGAAUUCAGUGAAUCAUCGAAUCUUUGAACGCACAUUGCGCCCGCCAGUAUUCUGGCGGGCAUGCCUGUCCGAGCGUCAUUUCAACCCUCGAACCCCUCCGGGGGGUCGGCGUUGGGGAUCGGCCCUUUACGGGGCCGGCCCCGAAAUACAGUGGCGGUCUCGCCGCAGCCUCUCCUGCGCAGUAGUUUGCACACUCGCAUCGGGAGCGCGGCGCGUCCACAGCCGUUAAACACCCCAAACUUCUGAAAUGUUGACCUCGGAUCAGGUAGGAAUACCCGCUGAACUUAAGCAUAUCAAUAAGCGGA